GCUCGGCUGCGGAGGAGCGUCGGAACACGGAGUCCAGGGUGUCCAGCAGAUAACUGCCUCGGGGGCGGCGCACUGACGAAAGCCCCACGGAGACAAAUGGGACAGACCAGCCGAAGAGUCCUACUACAUCAAAGACACAAUCCAGGACUCACCAGCAAGGGGUUCUCGGUCUCCUCGGUGAAUAUUCUGAGGAAGAAGACCAGGAGGGCGGAAGCC